rnacentral:rRNA from 1 species
GUGGGGAAUCUUGCGCAAUGGGCGAAAGCCUGACGCAGCCAUGCCGCGUGAAUGAUGAAGGUCUUAGGAUUGUAAAAUUCUUUCACCGGGGACGAUAAUGACGGUACCCGGAGAAGAAGCCCCGGCUAACUUCGUGCCAGCAGCCGCGGUAAUACGAAGGGGGCUAGCGUUGCUCGGAAUUACUGGGCGUAAAGGGCGCGUAGGCGGACAGUUUAGUCAGAGGUGAAAGCCCAGGGCUCAACCUUGGAAUUGACUUUGAUACUGGCUGUCUUGAGUACGGGAGAGGUGAGUGGAACUCCGAGUGUAGAGGUGAAAUUCGUAGAUAUUCGGAAGAACACCAGUGGCGAAGGCGACUCACUGGCCCGUUACUGACGCUGAGGCGCGAAAGCGUGGGGAGCAAACAGGAUUAGAAACCCGUGUAGUCC